rnacentral:tRNA from 1 species
AAGUAUAUAGCUUAGUGGUUAAGGUGUUUGGCUCAUAAUCAAAAGAUCAUGUGUUUA